rnacentral:rRNA from 1 species
AUUGAACGCUGGCGGCAGGCCUAACACAUGCAAGUCGAGCGGAUGAAGGGAGCUUGCUCCUGGAUUCAGCGGCGGACGGGUGAGUAAUGCCUAGGAAUCUGCCUGGUAGUGGGGGAUAACGUCCGGAAACGGGCGCUAAUACCGCAUACGCCCUGAGGGAGAAAGUGGGGGAUCUUCGGACCUCACGCUAUCAGAUGAGCCUAGGUCGGAUUAGCUAGUUGGUGGGGUAAAGGCCUACCAAGGCGCCGAUCCGUAACUGGUCGGAGAGGAUGAUCAGUCACACUGGAACUGAGACACGGUCCAGACUCCUACGGGAGGCAGCAGUGGGGAAUAUUGGACAAUGGGCGAAAGCCUUACCCAGCCAUGCCGCGUGUGUGAAGAAGGUCUUCGGAUUGUAAAGCACUUUAAGUUGGGAGGAAGGGCAGUAAGUUAAUACCUUGCUGUUUUGACGGUACCAACAGAAUAAGCACCGGCUAACUUCGUG